rnacentral:tRNA from 1 species
CGGGGAGUAGUCCAGUGGCAGGAUGCGUGGUUUGGGACCAUGCGGCGAGAGUCCGAUUCUCUCCUCCCCGA